AUACGGAGGAUCCGAGCGUUAUCCGGAUUUAUUGGGUUUAAAGGGUGCGCAGGCGGCCAUUUAAGUCAGCGGUUAAAUCGUGGGGCUCAACCCCAUUCUGCCGUUGAUACUGGGUGGCUUGAUUGCGGUCGAGGUUGGCGGAAUUCGUUGUGUAGCGGUGAAAUGCAUAGAUAUGACGAAGAACACCGAUUGCGUAGGCAGCUGACCAGACCGCAAAUGACGCUCAUGCACGAAAGUGCGGGGAUCGAACAGGAUUAGAUACCCUGGUAGUCCGCACAGUAAACGAUGAAUACUUGUUUUCGGCGAUAUAAUGUCGGAGGCAAAGCGAAAGCGAUAAGUAUUCCACCUGGGGAGUACGCCGGCAACGGUGAAACUCAAAGGAAAUUACGGGG
rnacentral:rRNA from 1 species